GGCCCACGAUUGGACCAAGGCGGGAAGGGCACUCGAGGUUUUCCCUGCAAAUCGGCAGGUGGUUACCGCCCUCUCACGGCGGCGGCACGGGUUCGAAUCCCGUAUGGGCUA
rnacentral:tRNA from 1 species